rnacentral:rRNA from 1 species
CUGCCCAGUGAUCCUUAAACGGCCGCGGUAUCCUGACCGUGCAAAGGUAGCAUAAUAAUUUGCCUCCUAAUUAGAGGCUAGCAUGAAUGGACAAACGAAAGCUUAAUUGUCUCCUAUAUACUCAAAGAAAACUAACCUUCAGGUGAAGAGGCCUGAAUUAAUCUAAAGGACAAAAAGACCCUAUCGAGCUUCACUUAUAAACCCGCACUAUUAUAUAAUAUAGCCAACGGAUAAUAAGUUUAGUUGGGGCGACUAAGGACCACCAGAUAACUAUUACCUACUAAACGUCCUCCCAAUAAAAGACCAAAAGUCAUACAAAUGAUCCAUCAACCCAAUGACCACCUGACCAAGCUACCGUAGGGAUAACAGACUAAUCCUCCUAAAGAGCCCAAAUCGCCAGGAGGGAUUGGCACCUCGAUGUUGGCUUAGGAAUCUAUUGAGCGCAGCAGCCCAAAAAAGAAGGUUUGUUCAACCUAAAAUUCCCUACGUGAUCU